rnacentral:rRNA from 1 species
CGACCGGCGGAUGGGUGAGUAACGCGUAUGCAACUUGCCUCUUAGUGGGGGAUAACCCGGAGAAAUCCGGACUAAUACCGCAUAUUCUUAAUUUCUCGCAUGAGUUAUUAAGGAAAGAUUUAUUGCUAAGAGAUAGGCAUGCGUUCCAUUAGUUAGUUGGUGAGGUAACGGCUCACCAAGGCAUCGAUGGAUAGGGGAGCUGAGAGGCUGAUCCCCCACAUUGGGACUGAGACACGGCCCAA